UACGGAGGGUGCAAACGUUGCUCGGAAUCAUUGGGCGUAAAGCGCACGUAGGUGGCUUGUUGAGUCGGGUGUGAAAUCCCUGGGCUCAACCCAGGAAGUGCACUCGAAACUGGCGAGCUUGAGUACUGAAGAGGGUCGCGGAAUUCCCGGUGUAGAGGUGAAAUUCGUAGAUAUCGGGAGGAACACCAGUGGCGAAGGCGGCGACCUGGGCAGAUACUGACACUGAGGUGCGAAAGCGUGGGGAGCAAACAGG
rnacentral:rRNA from 1 species